ensembl:snRNA U6 U6 spliceosomal RNA
GUGCUCACUUGGGCAGCACAUACACAUGUACAGCAUGUACAGAGAAGAUUGGCAUGGCCCCUACACAAGGCUGACAACUUAAAAAUACUUAAAAAUAAAAAUAAAAUUU